AAAGCUCUUGCAAAGUCAAGGAGAUGUGCUACCUUGCAGCAUGCUUUGCUGGAUGGCAUAGUGUGCCUGGCACUAUGGUAUCUCUUCACUGGGAGACUCAAAAUACCCUUCUCACGCAGGUAUCACAUGCAUGAAGUGUCUGGGUAUACCCAUCGUGUAACACCACAGAAACACCUGGAGCAAUAACACCAGCUGGACAAAUACAAGAGCUUUACUAAAAUGUCAUUGUGGAAAGCCAGCCCACACAGAGAUAAAUACUGAGAUCAAGCCUCUCAGAGGAAAGAAUGUCAAGUUAGGAGAUGAAAGGAAAGGAAACUGGAAAGGAGGCAUAACCACUUAUACUUUCGGCUAUAAAAUUCAAAAUCAAGGUGAUGAAGAAAGUGUAAAGGAAGACCAUGAAGCAGAGCUGUGGACAGAGGCAAAGGAAAUAAGAGACCUUUAA
rnacentral:lncRNA from 12 species